GAUGCCAACACAGGAAUAAGGGUGCUCGUUUAAGGGUAUCAUCUCUCAGUAGUACAUGAGCUGCUGGGCUGCAGCAACAUUCUGAAAACCUCCAUCAUAGAUCGCCUGGCUUGCUCCAGCAGCACCCAGGCCCAUGGCUGCAUGUUUGAGAGCAUGUUGACCCUGUGGGUGCAUUAGUGCCUGGGCACCAGCCAUCUUGCUCAUAGCCAGCUGACGCUCAUAGGCUAGAAGUUCUGCAGCCGAUAUACCUGGGGGGAAGGGUGGAGGAAGAGGUGUGGACACUGUC